rnacentral:miRNA from 1 species
UAUUACAGAGUACAAACUAUAAAGUCCUGGGAACUGAUAUAUAUCAGGAAGUUCCCAGGACUUUAUAGUUUGUACUUUGCCUAGAUCUAGAUAU